GAGAAGCCUCUGGUCAAUAGAACAAUGUAGGUAAGGGAAGUCGGCAAAUCGGAUCCGUAACUUCGGGACAAGGAUUGGCUCUGAGGAUCGGGGCAGUCGGGCCGUAUCAGGAAGUAGUGUGUGCUCACGUGCUGGGCCUGGACAAGCUCGCAAGGGUGAGUUCGGUCCCAUGCCGCGGCCUGCUAUGGAUUGGUACGGCUAGGAGUACCACUGGGUGUAAAAGCUUGGUGGAGUCAUACUCUUCGGCUUCCAUUGAACGAUCAACUCAGAACUGGCACGGACCGGGGGAAUCCGACUGUCUAAUUAAAACAAAGCAUUGUGAUGGCUCUUGCGGGUGUUGACACAAUGUGAUUUCUGCCCAGUGCUUUGAAUGUCAAAGUGAAGAAAUUCAUCCAAGCGCAAGUAAACGGCGGGAGUAACUAUGACUCUCUUAAGGUAGCCAAAUGCCUUGUCAUCUAAUUAGUGACGCGCAUGAAUGGAUUAACGAGAUUCCCACUGUCCCUAUCUACUAUCUAGCGAAACCACAGCCAAGGGAACGGGCUUGGGCCCAUCGGCGGGGAAAGAAGACCCUGUUGAGCUUGACUCUAGUCUGGCAUUGUGAGGAGACACGGGCGAUGUAGCAUAAGUGGGAGAUUUCGGUCGACUUUGAAAUACCACUGCACCCGUCGUUUCCUCACUUACUCGGUGAGGCGGGGAGCGGCUGUCAUCACUUUCGGGUGUUACAGUCGGAAUUGUUGAGCCAAGUCACUAGUCACCUAGAGUGCGGGUGUAUUAUGGAGGGUGUCUCUCGGGGCAUCUAAAGUUUUACACUGUGACGACUCGAUCCGAGGACCCCGCCAGACG
rnacentral:rRNA from 2 species